rnacentral:rRNA from 1 species
AGCAGUCGCCGCGGGAAUACGUAGGUGGCAAGCGUUGUCCGGAAUUAUUGGGCGUAAAGGGCUCGCAGGCGGUUUCUUAAGUCUGAUGUGAAAGCCCCCGGCUCAACCGGGGAGGGUCAUUGGAAACUGGGAAACUUGAGUGCAGAAGAGGAGAGUGGAAUUCCACGUGUAGCGGUGAAAUGCGUAGAGAUGUGGAGGGACACCAGUGGCGAAGGCGACUCUCUGGUCUGUAACUGACGCUGAGGAGCGAAAGCGUGGGGAGCGAACAGGAUUAGAUACCCGCGUAGUCCCUGUCUCUUAUAA